ensembl:lincRNA
CAUACUUCUGAGCUCUGAGAGUUCUAAUUUUAGUCCACGUCGCACGGUUGCCUAGAACGCUCCGAUUAUGAGGAGAGAUUCCCUUUAAUUCAAAGUAGGAAGAGCAGCGCUAUCGCUCUGUUUCUGCCUUCUGCGGUCUGGGAGGGUCAGGCCUGGAAGCAGCGUCUCUAUCUCCAGCUGCUCCCCGCGUCUUUCGCAGCUGUUCCAUAGCCCCCAGGGCGGAGGCCGCAACUGGCUCGGCAGUCGCGGCACGGUCAGGUUCGGGGCUUCAGGACGAGCGAACUUGAGCUGCAGAGCGCGCGCCCGGCUUCUUCCCGCACCCUCCGAUCCGAGGUUAGUCUCGGGUCUACCCGAUCCUGCAGCGGGGCUGGGUCGUCCUCCCAGACGACUCGACUCGAGUGAAAACUCUUUCUAGUUGUUGGGGCGCACAAAGGGGCGGGGCAGAGACAUCCGGGACGGAUUGAGAGUCCCGUCCGCACCUUAGGAAAGGCUGGGGAAGGCGAGUGCCUACGACCCGAAACAGAGUUCACGCGCGUUCACGCUCCGCUUUCAAAUCUCCCGGAGCCACGUGUAAGGCGCCUCGGCUCAAGUGCGGGAGUGAGCAACUAGUCAAGUGGCCAACUCAGUGCAGCCCUGCAAGGCCCUUGGGGCCUCCAGGAACCGGUCCGCCUCGGGGCCGGGCACAUUCUUUUCUCCCAUGAAGAGGUUGGUCGCGCAGGCCGCUGGCCGCCCUCUUCUUGGCUUAGCUGAUCUCCGUUUCUCGCGAGCUCAGAUGAGCGGCACAUAGCACCGAACUGGCGCUCGGAUCCUGGGGAAGAUCGGAUUCAACGCUUUCUUCAGAGCUUCUUCUUCCCUUAUUCUCCAAAACACUUAUUUUUUAUUUGCUUCUAUUUAUAUAAAGCAGGAUUUCCACGACACUUUCCACCUGUUCCACCUUUCCAAGACUUGGUCCUCAGGUUUCCGCUAGAAACUUUUCUGCAGGUGUGAGAACUCAUUUGCAGGGCAGGCAAGAGAGAGACAGGGACUAAACCUUCUAUGAUCUCUGGAGUUGGACGAGGAUCCUGUCGACAACCUUGAAUUGGAUUGGAAUGCCGAGAAGGAUAUGGGAUGAGGAUAGAGGACUCUGAUCAAUAAGCUGUAAAUAGGCCACUGUCUCUCAAACUGAGGGUCUUGACCCAUUGUGGUUUGCAAAGUUAUUAUGGCUUGUUAUCAAAAUUGUAACCCAGAAAUAUAAAAGAAUGAUGAAAUAGAAAUUAUCAGUGCACAGGGUAGGAAAACUGAGAGCUCUAAGCAUUGCUUGCUGAAACUUUUAUUGGGACACAAUGUAAAAUGUGUUUAUGAGUGUGGGUCUCAGUUACUGUAAAAGCUUGACUGCCACUGCUGA